GACGAACGCUGGCGGCGUGCUUAACACAUGCAAGUCGAACGGUGAAAGCGGAGCUUGCUCCGCUGGAUCAGUGGCGAACGGGUGAGUAACACGUGGGCAACCUGCCCCUCACUUCGGGAUAACUCCGGGAAACCGGGGCUAAUACCGGAUAUGACCUCCUUGGGCAUCCUUGGAGGUGGAAAGUUUUUCGGUGAGGGAUGGGCCCGCGGCCUAUCAGCUAGUUGGUGAGGGAAUGGCUCACCAAGGCGACGACGGGUAGCCGGCCUGAGAGGGUGACAGGCCACACUGGGACUGAGACACGGCCCAGACUCCUGCGGGAGGCAGCAGUGGGGAAUAUUGCACAAUGGGCGCAAGCCUGAUGCAGCAACGCCGCGUGAGGGAUGACGGCCUUCGGGUUGUAAACCUCUUUUAGUAGGGAAGAAGCGAAAGUGACGGUACCUGCAGAAAAAGCACCGGCUAACUACGUGCCAGCAGCCGCAGUAA
rnacentral:rRNA from 1 species